rnacentral:rRNA from 1 species
AGCUUGCUACCUGACCUAGCGGCGGACGGGUGAGUAAUGCUUAGGAAUCUGCCUAUUAGUGGGGGACAACAUUCCGAAAGGAAUGCUAAUACCGCAUACGCCCUACGGGGGAAAGCAGGGGAUCUUCGGACCUUGCGCUAAUAGAUGAGCCUAAGUCAGAUUAGCUAGUUGGUGGGGUAAAGGCCUACCAAGGCGACGAUCUGUAGCGGGUCUGAGAGGAUGAUCCGCCACACUGGGACUGAGACACGGCCCAGACUCCUACGGGAGGCAGCAGUGGGGAAUAUUGGACAAUGGGCGAAAGCCUGAUCCAGCCAUGCCGCGUGUGUGAAGAAGGCCUUUUGGUUGUAAAGCACUUUAAGCGAGGAGGAGGCUACUUGGAUUAAUACUCUAGGAUAGUGGACGUUACUCGCAGAAUAAGCACCGGCUAACUCUGUGCCAGCAGCCGCGGUAAUACAGAGGGUGCGAGCGUUAAUCGGAUUUACUGGGCGUAAAGCGUGCGUAGGCGGCUUUUUAAGUCGGAUGUGAAAUCCCUGAGCUUAACUUAGGAAUUGCAUUCGAUACUGGGAAGCUAGAGUAUGGGAGAGGAUGGUAGAAUUCCAGGUGUAGCGGUGAAAUGCGUAGAGAUCUGGAGGAAUACCGAUGGCGAAGGCAGCCAUCUGGCCUAAUACUGACGCUGAGGUACGAAAGCAUGGGGAGCAAACAGGAUUAGAUACCCUGGUAGUCCAUGCCGUAAACGAUGUCUACUGGCCGUUGGGGCCUUUGAGGCUUUAGUGGCGCAGCUAACGCGAUAAGUAGACCGCCUGGGGAGUACGGUCGCAAGACUAAAACUCAAAUGAAUUGACGGGGGCCCGCACAAGCGGUGGAGCAUGUGGUUUAAUUCGAUGCAACGCGAAGAACCUUACCUGGUCUUGACAUAGUAAGAACUUUCCAGAGAUGGAUUGGUGCCUUCGGGAACUUACAUACAGGUGCUGCAUGGCUGUCGUCAGCUCGUGUCGUGAGAUGUUGGGUUAAGUCCCGCAACGAGCGCAACCCUUUUCCUUAUUUGCCAGCGGGUUAAGCCGGGAACUUUAAGGAUACUGCCAGUGACAAACUGGAGGAAGGCGGGGACGACGUCAAGUCAUCAUGGCCCUUACGACCAGGGCUACACACGUGCUACAAUGGUCGGUACAAAGGGUUGCUACCUAGCGAUAGGAUGCUAAUCUCAAAAAGCCGAUCGUAGUCCGGAUUGGAGUCUGCAACUCGACUCCAUGAAGUC